rnacentral:rRNA from 1 species
GAUGAACGCUGGCGGCGUGCCUAAUACACGCAAGUCGAGCGAAUGGAUUAAGAGCUUGCUCUUAUGAAGUUAGCGGCGGACGGGUGAGUAACACGUGGGUAACCUGCCCAUAAGACUGGGAUAACUCCGGGAAACCGGGGCUAAUACCGGAUAACAUUUUGAACCGCAUGGUUCGAAAUUGAAAGGCGGCUUCGGCUGUCACUUAUGGAUGGAACCGCGUCGCAUUAGCGAGUUGGUGAGGUAACGGCUCACCAAGGCAACGAUGCGUAGCCGACCUGAGAGGGUGAUCGGCCACACUGGGACUGAGACACGGCCCAGACUCCUACGGGAGGCAGCAGUAGGGAAUCUUCCGCAAUGGACGAAAGUCUGACGGAGCAACGCCGCGUGAGUGAUGAAGGCUUUCGGGUCGUAAAACUCUGUUGUUAGGGAAGAACAAGUGCUAGUUGAACAAGCUGGCACCUUGACGGUACCUAACCAGAAAGCCACGGCUAACUACGUGCCAGCCGCCGCGGUAA